AUGACACUUCAAAGUGUCGGGAAUCUAGUAUAUGUACAUGCAUGUCUUGACUCCAUAUACAAUAUGCAUUAGCAUGUCUCUCUUUAUGUAUGUCUCCAAAUGCAACACGCGUGUACUCACAUAUAGAAUGUCUCCACACGUGUAUUUAGGUGUCUAGUUGGGACUAUAAUUAUCCCGAUUGUUUAAAUUGUAGGGAUAAAC
rnacentral:lncRNA from 1 species